AAUGGGGGCAACCCUGAUCCAGCCAUCCCGCGUGCAGGAUGACGGCCUAUGGGUUGUAAACUGCUUUUAGAAGGGACGAACUUUGGGAUUUAUCCCGAACUGACGGUACCUUCAGAAUAAGCACCGGCUAACUCCGUGCCAGCAGCCGCGGUAAUACGGAGGGUGCAAGCGUUAUCCGGAAUCACUGGGUUUAAAGGGUGCGUAGGCGGCAUUGUAAGUCAGAUGUGAAAGCCCACCGCUUAACGGUGGAACUGCAUUUGAUACUGCAAAGCUUGAAUCAGGCUGAGGUCAGCGGAAUGUGUCAUGUAGCGGUGAAAUGCAUAGAUAUGACAUAGAACACCAAUUGCGAAGGCAGCUGGCUAGACCUGUAUUGACGCUGAGGCACGAAAGCGUGGGGAGCGAACAGGAUU
rnacentral:rRNA from 1 species